AGAAGAGGAGAAGCAAGUGAUAAUAAGGAAGAAGAAGAAGAUCCAAUAAUGGAUUAGUGAAAAAAAUAAGACAAAUAUAUAGAUUCAUCAAAUUAGGAUUUUUUCUAAACUUUUUUAUCUUAUUAUUCAUCUGGAUUUCAAUCUUUAAUGGUGGAAAACGAAGGUUGUCUAUUCAAACGAUAUGAUUUAGUCGACUAAAGUGAUGAUUACCGGUCUUCAUGUUUCCGGAAAUCCAACUCCUAAUGGUGGAUAGAUGGAGAAUUAAAAUAAUGAUGUGAAUUUUGUCCCAAAGAAAACUUAAGAAUCAAUUGAUUAUUCUCAAGAUGGCUGAGAUUAUCAUUGAAAACAUUGAUGAAUGUAAUCAAAGAAGUUAGCAGCGAGGGAAAUGUUACGCAGGUUUCUCAUGAAUGCAUUUAAUUACAAAUGUGCUAGAAAAUGGUUAACGGAAUGGAUGAAAGUUUUUUUUUUUGAAAUCCGAGUGCGAAACAUUAUGUGAACCUAAUAUAUGAAGUUAAUUCUGGAUGAAAUAAGGCUACCGCGGAAGUCAUGAGGAAAUGAAGCAAAAUUAUAGUAUGGGAAAGUCACCGGUGGUUGGAACUAAAUUAGCCUACAUAUGAGGAUGAUUUGGUGGUGGUACAUAGAAAUACGUACUGGGUUCUUACUCGAUACAUAUCGAUUUGUAUUGUAUUUUCACCUUGUACAUGUCUAUAUGUAAUGGUUUGCACUCGGGUACAUGUUCGAAACCAAGAAGACAUUCCUAAAUAUUAUGGGACCUCCUAAAGAGUUACGAAGACACUUGGUUCUUGAGAGAGUUGUUCCGAGUUCUCCAGUAAAUGAAUGCAUUGUUUUCCUAGAGCCAAGCAGUGGGAGAAGGAUUUUACGAUCCAUGCAGUUUUCCACAGGAUUGAUGAGUACCGAGGAAGAUAAUGUUCUUCCACCCAUCUGAGUCAGGCCUCAACCAGGAAGGCGAAGAAUAAUUGCAUCAAAGUGAAUGAGAUAAGGGUAAAAACCAUCUUAGAUUUCAAAUUUUGGUCUGAAAAAUCUCAAAUUCAAUAAAGAAACAACAACUGUAGCUAUGGCCGCUGGAGAUACAACAGACAAGUCAUUGAGGUUAGAGAAUUUGCAGGCAUCAAGGAUAGGAGAGACAGGAAGAAUUAUCUCAUCAACUUGAAUAGUCUGAUACUCAGUACAUAAUGAUAUGAACUAAGCAUGGGGUGCGGGUAUAUCGAGUACAUGAAUGAAGAGAUCCAGGUGCGGACACAAGACAUAUGGUGACAUGGUGUGGUUACAGUUCUGUACCUUGUAAAAGUAGUCCUCCUUUUGAGCACAUCAAAGUUUAUGCACUGAUUUUGAGAUUUAAUUCAAUAUUUUUUGUACCAAUAAUGAAUUCAAUGUAUAUUUUUGGGGAAAA